CACGUAGGUGGUUGAGUAAGUCAGAUGUGAAAGCCCCGGGCUCAACCUGGGAACUGCAUUUGAAACUGCUUGGCUAGAGUCCGGUAGAGGGGGGUGGAAUUCCAGGUGUAGCGGUGAAAUGCGUAGAUAUCUGGAGGAACAUCAGUGGCGAAGGCGGCCCCCUGGAUCGAGACUGACGCUGAGGUGCGAAAGCGUGGGGAGCAAACA
rnacentral:rRNA from 1 species